AAUGAACAGCACAGACCUUGGAUAAAUAUGGGGUAGGUUGGUUUUGGAAUGGUGAAAAACAACAUUUAUAAAUGAAUGAUUUUUGCUUUUUUUUGUUCAUAUUAAGUGUCUCAACCUGUAUUGACACCCACAGAAGCACGAUCAAGAAUUGUACAUCUGAAAACUGCGGCAGUCAGAACCGAACACGGAGAAGCAGCGUCCAGUUCUUCAGCUUCACGUAUCUGGAACAAAUUCCCAGAGAGCUGCAGGUGUGUUCACUUCCCUCAUGUCUUCCCAGCCUUAGCAGCUGCCCUUCCCGAUUGUGUCCACCUGUGUUUCAUUAACAUCCCUUCCCCUUGUGUACUUAAGGGGUGUGCACUGUGUUGUUUGCGCGCCAGUUUGUCUUGUACUAUUUGUCAAGUGUGGCAGGACCUUUGUGCCAAACUAGUUAGUGGUUUCCUGGUCAAGCCUUCGACCCCGAUUACCCUUUCUGGAUGCCGUCUCUUGUCUCUUGCCUUCUACUAGUUUGUGUUGCAAACCCUGCCUGUCCUUGACCAUGUUUUUGUAAAUAAUGCUUCCUGUGACAUAAUCCCCAAGUUGUGAACCUUAAAAACAGUAUAGUGAAUCUAUUGUAAGCUUCUUUAUUAUUUAGUGUCG
ensembl:lncRNA